UACGUAGGGCGCAAGCGUUGUCCGGAAUUAUUGGGCGUAAAGAGUUCGUAGGCGGUCUGUCGCGUCCGUUGUGAAAACUGGAGGCUCAACUUCCAGACGUCGACGGAAACCGUGUGGCUAGAGUCCGGAAGAGGAGAGUGGAAUUCCUGGUGUAGCGGUGAAAUGCGCAGAUAUCAGGAAGAACACCAAUGGCGAAGGCAGCUCUCUGGGACGGUACUGACGCUGAGACGCGAAAGCGUGGGGAGCGAACAGG
rnacentral:rRNA from 1 species